rnacentral:rRNA from 1 species
CCUACGGGUGGCUGCAGUGGGGAAUAUUGGGCAAUGGGCGCAAGCCUGACCCAGCAACGCCGCGUGAAGGAAGAAGGCUUUCGGGUUGUAAACUUCUUUUGUCAGGGACGAAGCAAGUGACGGUACCUGACGAAUAAGCCACGGCUAACUACGUGCCAGCAGCAGCGGUAAUACGUAGGUGGCAAGCGUUAGCCGGAUUUACUGGGUGUAAAGGGCGUGUAGGCGGGACUGCAAGUCAGAUGUGAAAACCACGGGCUGAACCUGUGGCCUGCAUUUGAUACUGUAGUUCUUGAGUACUGGAGAGGCAGACGGAAUGCCUAGUGUAGCGGUGAAAUGCGUAGAUAUUAGGAGGAACACCAGUGGCGAAGGCGGUCUGCGGAACAGCAACUGACGCUGAGGCGCGAAAGCGUGGGGAGCAAACAGGAUUAGAUACCCUUGUAGUC